rnacentral:misc_RNA from 1 species
GAGAAAGCCAUGGCUGAAUUAGGUUUGCUCUACCUUGGAAUGGGAGUUUCUGGGGGUGAAGAAGGUGUUAGGAAUGGUCCUUCUUUGAUGCCUGGAGGAUCUUUUGAGGCCUUCAAGAACAUUGAGGACAUUCUUCUUAAGGUGGCAGCCCAAGUUCCCGAUAGUGGUCCCUGUGUGACUUACAUCGGCAAAGGUGGAUCAGGUAACUUUGUCAAGAUGAUCCACAAUGGAAUAGAAUAUGGUGAUAUGCAGCUGAU